GAUGAACGCUGGCGGCGUGCCUAAUACAUGCAAGUCGAACGCAGUGGGGAUGGGUGAGUAACACGUGGGUAACCUCCCAUCAGAGGGGAUAACACUUGGAAAAAGGUGCUAAAACCGAUACUGAUGGAUGGACCCGCGGUGCAUUAGCUAGGUGGUGGGGUAACGGCUCACCAAGGCCACGAUGCAUAGCCGACCUGGGGGGUUGUUCGCCACCUCUGGGCCUGGUAACCGGCCCGGACUCCUCCGGGUGGCGGCAGUAGGGAAUCUUCGGCAUUGGACGAAAUUCUGACCGGGCAACGCCGCGUGAGUGAAGAAGGUUUUCGGAUCGUAAACCUCUGUUGUUAGGGCAGCGGUAUCUAACCAGAAAGCCACGGCUAACUACGUGCCAGCAGCCGCGGUAAUAC
rnacentral:rRNA from 1 species